UAGCGAAAUUCCUUGUMGGGUAAGUUCCGACCUGCACGAAUGGCGUAACGACUUCCCCGCUGUCUCGACCAGGAGCUCGGCGAAAUUGCAGUACGAGUAAAGAUGCUCGUUAAGCGCAGAAGGACGAAAAGACCCCGGGACCUUUACUAUACCUUGGUAUUGGCAUCAGGUGCGGAUUGUGUAGCAUAGGCGGGAGACUGUGAAGCACGCACGCCAGUGUGUGUGGAGUCGGCCGGUGAAAUACCGCUCUGUCCCCAUCUGAUGCCUAACCCGGACAAGUGAGCCUUGUCGGGGACAGUGCCUGGCGGGUAGUUUAACUGGGGCGGUUGCCUCCCAAAGAGUAACGGAGGCGCUCAAAGGUCCGCUCGGCCCGGUUGGCAAUCGGGUGUCGAGUGUAAUCGCACAAGCGGGCUUGACUGCGAGAUCGACGGAUCGAGCAGGGACGAAAGUCGGAGAUAGUGAUCCGGUGCCGGCGUACGGACGCGGCAUCGCUCAACGGAUAAAAGGUACCCCGGGGAUAACAGGCUGAUCAUUCCCAAGAGUCCAUAUCGACGGGAUGGUUUGGCACCUCGAUGUCGGCUCGUCGCAUCCUGGGGCUGGAGCAGGUCCCAAGGGUUCGGCUGUUCGCCGAUUAAAGCGGCACGCGAGCUGGGUUCAGAACGUCGUGAGACAGUUUGGUCUCUAUCCUCUGCGCUCGUUGGAAUCCUGAGGAGGCCUGCCCAUAGUACGAGAGGACCUGGGUGGACGAACCUCUGGUAUGCCAGUUGUCGCGCCAGCGGCAUGGCUGGUUGGCCACGUUCGGGAGGGAUAACCGCUGAAAGCAUCUAAGCGGGAAGCCCGCUCCAAGAUAAGGAUUCCUAACCACCCCUCGAGGUGGCGUGAGACCCCAGGUAGAACACCUGGUCGAUAGACCGGACGUGGAAGCCGCGCGAGCGGUGGAGCUGACCGGCACUAACGGUCGAAACACAAACACAC
rnacentral:rRNA from 1 species